GGACCCGCGGAAAGACAUUUAAAGGGUUUGAGAAGACUCUUGCGAUGCCCCUAAUCAACUGGGAGCUUUGUGAGUAUAGCAGCAGACUAGGAUUCACAACUGAUGAUCAGCAGUACCCAAGAACAGCCCACAGUGAAGCUGGAGACCACAAAAAGCCCACAGCCCACACCUCUGGAGAGCAUUUUGGAGAAGACAGGUGGAGGAUAAAGUAAGGCCAAACCUCAUGACUGGCUGGUGACUUGGUGAAGGCUGUCCCUGAGCAAAAGAAUCUAGUGUUUGGAAGACCUUUCAUAUACCUGCUAACUGUAACAACCCACAGAUCUGCCACCAAAAUAAACAUAGCCUUUUCCAAAGUGCUGUAAAAAGUCUAAAA